GGUACCUUGGUGUAUAUGGUUAUCACAUCAGUCUAACACACUGAAGGUGGCCAGAUCGAUGCUGGCAGGUAUCA